rnacentral:rRNA from 1 species
AGAGUUUGAUCAUGGCUCAGAGCGAACGCUGGCGGCGUGCUUAACACAUGCAAGUCGAGUGCGCGUCUGUAGCAAUACAGAUGGCGCACGGCGCACGGGUGCGUAACACGUGGGUAAUCUGCCCUUCGAAGGGGAAUAACUCGCCGAAAGGCGAGCUAAUUCCGCAUAACAUUCCGAGAACCUUGGUUUUUGGAUUCAAAGGCGUAAGUCGUCGGAGGAGGAGCCCGCGCACGAUUAGCUAGUUGGUAGGGUAACGGCCUACCAAGGCUAUGAUCGUUAGCUGGUCUGAGAGGAUGGCCAGCCACACUGGAACUGAGACACGGUCCAGACUCCUACGGGAGGCAGCAGUGGGGAAUCUUGCACAAUGGGCGAAAGCCUGAUGCAGCGACGCCGCGUGGGGGAUGAAGCUUCUCGGAGUGUAAACCCCUUUCGACCCGGACGAAUGCCCCGCAAGGGGACUGACGGUACGGGUAUAAGAAGCCCCGGCUAACUACGUGCCAGCAGCCGCGGUAAGACGUAGGGGGCCAGCGUUGCUCGGAAUUACUGGGUGUAAAGGGUUCGUAGGCGGUGUGGCAAGUCGGGAGUGAAAUCUCUGGGCUCAACCCAGAGUCUGCUUCCGAAACUGCUGUGCUUGAGUGUGGGAGAGGCGCGUGGAAUUGCAGGUGUAGCGGUGAAAUGCGUAGAUAUCUGCAGGAACACCCGUGGCGAAAGCGGCGCGCUGGACCACUACUGACGCUGAGGAACGAAAGCUAGGGGAGCAAACAGGAUUAGAUACCCUGGUAGUCCUAGCCCUAAACGAUCAGGACUUGGGGUGCCACCCGUUCGGGUGUCGUCCCGGAGCUAACGCGUUAAGUCCUGCACCUGGGGAGUACGGUCGCAAGACUGAAACUCAAAGGAAUUGACGGGGGCGCA